ensembl:lncRNA
CAACAGGAGGGCAGCUCCUGCAGAAUUGGGCUCCCUGAGAGCAACGGGGAUCCCAAAAUAAUAGACAUGGUUGGUUCUGCUCAGCAGAGGGACCAGGCAGCAGAGGCUCCUGGCUAAGCCCGGCCCAGUCCCAGGCCCACGGACACUCAGUUGAUAACAUGCUGACUGCUGUGAGCUGCUGGAUUCCUCACCCGGCUUCCCCUCGAGUUCCCCAGCUCAGAGGGGUGCUGUCCCCCACCUAGUCUCCCGAACCACACUCCUGCUGCCAUGGUGAAAGUGAAAGUGUCAGCCGCUCAGCAAUGUCCAACUCUUUGUAACCCCAUGGACUGUGUGGCCUGCCAGGCUCCUCUGUUCAUGAAACUCCCCAGGCAAGAAUACUGGAGUGGGUAGCCGUGCCCUCCUCCAGGGGAUGUUCCAGCUCCAUCCUGGGUCCUCCCUUUUGCUAUCCUCCACUGACUGCAAUGACAUGAGUCUGAGUGAACUCCGGGAGUUGGUGAUGGACAGGGAGGCCUAGCGUGCUGCGGUCCACGGGGUCUCGAAGAGUCGGACGUGACUGAACGACUGAACUGAACUGAACGGAUCCUCAAGACCAAUAGACUCUACCUCCUGAAGGCCUCUUGGAUAUCUGCACUUUCAGGGAUCACUCCUGCCCCUACCAGGGUCCCCUCCUGAGAUGCUUGCUCACCACACAAGAGAGCAGGGCUCCAGCCUCGCCCUGCUCCCCUGCCCCCAUCCAGGCUGCCUCUGCCUGGAGGAAGAAUGGCUGCAUGUUCGUCCCUCUGUGUCCUCGGGGGUUGGUUUCCGGCUACCUGCAGACAACAAACUUCAAGGGUGCUCAGUUCCUCAUAUAAAAUGUUGGUUGAGUCCGCAGAUUCGGAACUGACUGUAACUUUUUUAACUUGCCUCCAUCCUCCUGCAUCCCUGGCAGCCUAAAGGAUUCUCCUAGAACCCAGGGGGCUGUUGACCGUCCGCAGGAAGUUCCAGUUCUCUAGAAAGACUUGGUUGCCUUUCGUGAGCUGGAGUCUCCAACGUCGUCGUCUUGUCCCUUCCAGGACAUCACAAGCGGUCUACCUGGAGCUAGGGAAGUGCUUGCAGAUGCCAGGGCGCCCCGCUCUCCACGUCUCUGCGCGGGAGGCUCUUGCUACCUGGAACGCCCCCUUGCAUCUCGUCUGCCUCCAGAGGGCACCCCAACCUCGUAGCCUCCUAGCACCCUUGCCUUUUCGGCGCUUGAAGCGUUCAGCCUGAACUUUCGGAGCAGUUGACAUAAUACAGUAAGACAGAGCCCUGAGCCUCCGUUGCCUCGUCUGUCAAAUGGCCCCAGAGUGACCAAGCCGCACAGCUGGCACGGGAGG